rnacentral:rRNA from 1 species
UAGGGAAUCUUCCACAAUGGACGCAAGUCUGAUGGAGCAACGCCGCGUGAGUGAAGAAGGUUUUCGGACCGUAAAGCUCUGUUGUUGGUGAAGAAGGAUAGAGGUAGUAACUGGCCUUUAUUUGACGGUAAUCAACCAGAAAGUCACGGCUAACUACGUGCCAGCAGCCGCGGUAAUACGUAGGUGGCAAGCGUUGUCCGGAUUUAUUGGGCGUAAAGCGAGCGCAGGCGGAAGAAUAAGUCUGAUGUGAAAGCCCUCGGCUUAACCGAGGAAUUGCAUCGGAAA